CCUGCUUCCAACAGCUCAAGCACACUGUUCAAGGUUCACAGUAAGAGGAUCCCAUGAAGAGCAUCUUUUCCAAACUCAUUCUUCACUCUUGACAUGUUAUGUAACUUUCCUACAUGGACAAAGUAUAGGAAUAUAUUUAUUUUUCUUUCCAGUUCAGAUAGAGAACUGUUAGACUGGUCAAUUUGACUUUUGUUUCUAACAUUUAAACAUUUCGUUUAUUUUUAUUAUUGAGGUUUAAUCUUUAUAAUCUAAUUUGUUACAUAAUUUAAAAAUUCUUGAACAAUCUCAAUCCAAUCCAUGUGUUUUGUUCUUUUCUAAGAGCAAAGCUUUCUAAAAAAGCACAGAGAAGGUAGAAGAGGAUCUCAAAAUAGAAAUUAAAAGUAGGAAUCUAAAACCUGGCAGCACCUAUCACAUGCAAAAUGCAACUUAAUAUAUUUCAUUUGGUCCUGAUUAGCACACCACUAAUAGCACACCACUAAUGAGGCCUAGAUCAUAGACUCAUAGAAUGUUAGAAUAGACCUAUCAAGAAUCUGUAAGCUGGUCUAGGUCAAAACUUCUAUGUCUUCACUUUAAAGAAGAGGAAAAUGAUUCUCAUAGAGUUAAAUAACUUGGCUAAAGCCAAAUAACCACUUACAGAACAAGUAUUAAACCCAAGUUUUCCUAACUUCUGUGCCAUUGCACUUCUUUCUAAAAAUGUUAAGUAUAGCUUAUGCAACCCUUUAUUAACAGCAAAAGCAGUCCCACAUACAUGCUCUUUGACAGUGUAUCAAGAUCAUCAUCUUCAUAUUAAACAGCAAGCUUUACUGCACGCUGAUUAAGAGAAGGACUAAAGCACACGAUUUUCCACUUGCUCAUUAGGUUACAUCUAAUCAUUUUUCACUGUUUUAUUUCAUGGCCAAAACAAGAAAUGUGGUAAAAUAGUAUUUAGUUCAUAUACGUUUCCAGUAAAUAUGUAUGAAAAUGGUUUAAAUGUGUAUUCAAAUGUUUCAAACAGUAGUUUCAGUGAUGAUAAUUUGUUUGCUCUAGAAAAUAAUGUAGUGGUUGGUAAAGCAAUUUUGUUUUGUUUUGUUUGUUUUUUUAAGAGGCAGGGUCUCGCUAUGUUGCCCAGGCUGGAGUGCAGUGGCUAUUCACAGGCGCCAUUCACUACUGAUCAGUAUGGGAGUUUUGACCUGCUCCGUUUCCCACCUGGGCCGGUUCACCCCUCCUUAGGCAACCUGGUGGUCCCCUGCUCCUGGGAGAUCACCAUAUUGGUGGCCAAAGUAGUGCAGACACUCAAUCGGCAUAGCGCACUGCAGCCCAGAACUCCUGGACUCAAGAGAUCCUCUAGUCUCAGCCUCCCGAGUAGCUGGGCCUCCAGGCACGCGCCACAGCUCCUAGCGAUAAGGCAAUUUUGUGAGCCAGAAUCACUGAGUUUAGAUACCACAGCCUACUCAUAUGUUAAUGAAAAUAGGUUAAUGAAAGUACUGACCUCACAGGGGUAUUUGAUGAAAUGUGUUCACAAUAAUCUGUUCUCUAUAAAGGAUACCCUUUUAAAUAAAAUAUUUACUGGCAAAUUGCAUCUGAGGCAUUUUUUGAGUUGA
rnacentral:lncRNA from 13 species